GACGUACCUCUGGUGUACCAGUUGUUCUGCCAAGGGCAUGGCUGGGUAGCUAUGUACGGAAUGGAUAAGCGCUGAAAGCAUCUAAGCGCGAAGCCAACUUCAAGAUAAGAUUUCCCACCGCAAGGGUAAGACCCCAGAAAGACUAUCUGGUUGAUAGGUCGAAGGUGUAAGUGCAGCAAUGUAUUUAGCUUAUCGAUACUAAUAGGUCGAGGACUUGACCAA
rnacentral:rRNA from 1 species